CAAUAGCGUAUAUUAAAGUUGUUGCAGUUAAAAAGCUCGUAGUUGGAUUUCGGGGCAGCCUGGCUGGUCCGCCGCAAGGCGAGUACUGGCCAGCCGCCCUUCCUCUCGAAAGCCCCGACUGCUCUUUAUUGCAGUGGUCGGGUAGUUCGGGACGUUUACUUUGAAAAAAUUAGAGUGUUCAAGGCAGGCCUACGCCUGAAUACAUUAGCAUGGAAUAAUGGAAGAGGACCUCGGUCCUAUUUUGUUGGUUUCCAGGACCGAAGUAAUGAUUAAGAGGGACAGUUGGGGGCAUUCGUAUUUAAUUGUCAGAGGUGAAAUUCUCGGAUUUAUGAAAGACGAACAACUGCGAAAGCAUUUGCCAAGGAUGUUUUCAUUAA
rnacentral:rRNA from 1 species